rnacentral:lncRNA from 1 species
CUCCACCCAGCCCCAGAAGCUGAGAAGCCAUCCCUGAGAGGGGGGAAAAGGGCCCCAAAUGCAUCUUCUCCGACUCAGCGGGCAGCGAGGACUCACCCUGCAGCCGAACAGUCCCAGCUCCCUCCCGUCCUCCCCAUUCCCGCUCGCCAAGGGGAAUAACUUCAUCAACCUGAGCUUUCUCCGCCUCUUCCGAGCUGCCCGGCUCAUCAAACUUCUCCGUCAGGGUUACACCAUCCGCAUUCUUCUCUGGACCUUUGUGCAAUCCUUCAAGGCCCUGCCUUAUGUCUGUCUGCUGAUCGCCAUGCUCUUCUUCAUCUAUGCCAUCAUUGGGAUGCAGGUGUUUGGUAACAUUGGCAUCGACGUGGAGGACGAGGACAGUGAUGAAGAUGAGUUCCAAAUCACUGAGCACAAUAACUUCCGGACCUUCUUCCAGGCCCUCAUGCUUCUCUUCCGGUG